UACGAAGGUGGCAAGCGUUGUUCGGAUUUACUGGGCGUACAGGGAGCGUAGGCGGUUGGGUAAGCCCUCCGUGAAAUCUCCGGGCUUAACCCGGAGCGGCCAAGUGAUACUGUCGUGCUAGAGUGCGGAAGGGGCUACUGGAAUUCUCGGUGUAGCGGUGAAAUGCGUAGAUAUCGAGAGGAACACCUGCGGCGAAGGCGGGUAGCUGGGCCGACACUGACGCUGAGGCGCGAAAGCCAGGGGAGCGAACGGG
rnacentral:rRNA from 1 species